AUGCUUAAUAAGCUAAUAAGAGAGGAAGAGAUAGAGAGGAGAUCGAUGAUGGGUUUCUCCGGUGCUCUGCAAUGGUGGGAUGAAUGGCACCUGCGCGUUCUGGCGCUGGGCAGCCUCUUCAUCCAGUACUUCCUCUUCGUCUCCGGCACGGUGCGCAGGCGUGCUCUUCCAGCUUGGCUCAGGCUCUUCAUCUGGCUUGCCUACCUCGGUGGGGAUGCUCUGGCGAUAUACGCGCUGGCCACCCUCUUCAACCGCCGCUCGCAGCUACCCGGCGACGGGAGCGGCAGCGGCCUGGAGGUCGUAUGGGCGCCUGUCCUCCUCGUCCACCUCGGCGGCCAGCACAACAUGACUGCCUACAGCAUCCAAGACACCGAGUUGUGGAUGCGCCAUGCCAUAACGGUGGCAUCCCAGGUCUCGGUCGCCCUCUACGUAUUCUGUAAGUUGUGGUCCGGGGAGAAGGGGUUAUUGCAGGCCGCAAUCUUGAUGUUCGUCGUCGGCAUCAUCAGAUCCUGCCAGAAGCCAUGGGCUCUCAAGAGCGCCAGUAUCAGUGCCAUCGCCAGUAGCAGUGCAACCCUUGUUCCCAGCUCUCCAUCGGCGCUAAGGAAACAAGGUAUGGUUGCCCUUUUCUGGCAGGUCUGCACGUGCGGUUAUGGCUAUGGAUUUCAAUCAACCGGAUUUCUGGAAGCAGUAGCCGAAGAGAAGGACAUUUUGCCUCAAGAAUUUGCAAAAGAAGCAAGAAAGUGUGUACUGGAGUCAGAGUUAGCCCAUGAUCAAGACAAAGCAGAACUACUAGCUGAACCUUCGGUGGAAAUGUAUGUCAACAUGGUACUGGGAGACAUACCAGUUCCAUACUCUACCCGGAUUAAAAUCUUACAGCGUUUCAUGGCCCUUGAUUUUCCACAUGCAUAUCACCUAUCAGAUUGCAUGUUCCUUUUGUCAUUUUUGCUCCUCUACACAAGAAAGACCAUUUUAAUCAGUCGCCUUGGCUUAUGUUUGCAUCUCUUGCUCCCAUUCCUGGCCUUAGCUUCUGUCGUCAUCCUCUUUUCCACGGGCCACAAAUAUCUUGGAUACAAAUACAACAUGACAGAUGUCAAGGUAACUUACAUCUUGUUCUCUUGUACUGCGCUGCUGGAUUUCCUAAUGCUAUUGGUUAGUCGUUUCAUCACAUUCAUACCACCAGUCAAGGUUGCCCAGCAUAGCCUCUUGUCGUGUGCUUCUCGCAACAAGAGGCCCACUAUUUUGAUGAAGCUUGCCACAGUUGUCUGCUGCAAGGACUAUGUUAACAUGCAUUGUUAUAUAGAACAGGCACCAGAAACAUCCACAGCCUAUAUUGUACAUUUGGUUCAUGGAUAUGUGAAGGAUGGGUGGAAACAACACAUCCACAACGCUGACAGCUACAGAAGAUUCAAUAGCCGCGGGGGCCAUUGGACUCUGAGGAAGAGGAGGCUUCGGCGCCUGAGGUGGAGCUUGAACAUGGCAUUCGAUAGAAGUGUCCUUCUCUGGCACAUCGCCACGGAACUAUGCUAUGGCAGCACAACCAAUCGAAUUCCAGAAUGCGUCCAAGGAAGCAUGGUGAUAUCCAACUACAUGGCUUACCUGCUCUGCAUCCAUCCUGAGAUGCUAAUGCCCGGGACCAGGAGCAGUAUCUUCACUUUCGCCUGCCAUGAUGUUGAGCUCAUGCUAGGCCAUGAGUCUUCCUUGGGGGAUCUGGUUCCCAAUGCACACAGGCUUCAUUACCAGUUGCUGGAGCUGCAUGACGAAGGGGAGAGGUGGGAGGUGGUACAGGGAGUAUGGGUCGAGAUGCUAUGCUACUCUGCCAGUAGGUGCAGGGGGUACUUGCACGCCAAGAGCUUGAGUGAAGGUGUGGAACUCUUGUCCCGUGUUUGGCUGCUCUUGUUAUUCAUGGGGAUGGAGACAUUCGCGGAUAGGUUUCAGAGGCCCUUUACACGGAGAGAAGUCCACAAUGAUGAUGCAGGCAGAACUGACGAGAACGAGAUUAAUAUUUCUAUUGUCUAA
rnacentral:rRNA from 1 species